rnacentral:rRNA from 1 species
UACGGAGGGUGCAAGCGUUAUCCGGAUUUAUUGGGUUUAAAGGGUCCGUAGGCGGACCUGUAAGUCAGUGGUGAAAUCUCAUAGCUUAACUAUGAAACUGCCAUUGAUACUGCAGGUCUUGAGUAAAUUUGAAGUGGCUGGAAUAAGUAGUGUAGCGGUGAAAUGCAUAGAUAUUACUUAGAACACCAAUUGCGAAGGCAGGUCACUAAGAUUUAACUGACGCUGAUGGACGAAAGCGUGGGUAGCGAACAGGAUUAGAUACCCUGGUAGUCCACGCCGUAAACGAUGCUAACUCGUUUUUGGAUUUUCGGAUUCAGAGACCAAGCGAAAGUGAUAAGUUAGCCACCUGGGGAGUACGUUCGCAAGAAUGAA